rnacentral:lncRNA from 1 species
UACAAUAUACAUAAUUGACUCUUUUUCCCCUUUUUUCUAAGGAUGAAUUCAGAAUGUGGUUUUGUGCAAAAAUUCGUUUUCUUUCUCUGGAAAAUCAUCCAUUUUCAAAUCCAAAAUCUGUAACUGAUAAGAUUUCAAAUGGCCAUGCAGUUCAUUUAACUGAGAAUCCUGUUGAAGAGAAUAGUCAUGAGAUGAGUAAAUAUUCACAGACUCAAACACAACAGGUACUGUGAUCUAGUGUCCAAAUUUCUUUAUA